rnacentral:RNase_P_RNA from 1 species
CGAGUGGGCCAGGCGGUCGCGCGCUAUCAAAGCGUGAGGAAAGUCCGGGCUCCUAAGGGCAAGAUGCCAGCUAACGGCUGGGCGGGGCAACCCGACGGAUCAGUGCCACAGAAAAGAAAACUCCCUUGCUUUCGGGCGAGAGAAAAGCUGAAACGGUGCGGUAAGAGCGCACCAGUGCGUCGGUAACGGCGCAGCUUGGCAAACCCCAUCUGGAGCAAGCGCAAAUAGGAACGCCAUACGGCUGCCCUUCCGUGCGUUCGGGUUGCGUGCUAAAGGCGGGCGGUGACGUCCGUCGCAGAUAAAUGGCCGUCCAACGACAGAACCCGGCUUAUCGGCCCGCUCGCCAU